ACCCCUGCACCCACGGCAAUCACUAAUCUUUUUACUGUUCCUGUAACUUUGUGCUGGAGGGUUUUUAGAUUCUUAGGAAACCUGACAGCCUUUGACAUCAUCUGCACAGAUUGUUGCAAUAUGUAGGGUUUAAAACACAUCUAUUUUCUACUUUUAGGCCACAUUCUCAAAUAUUACGAGGGAAAGGGGGAUAUUUGCAUUGUCCAAUUAGUUUUAUGUGUCAGUAGACACUGAAUUAUUCAUCCAUUCACUCAUUCAUUCAACAAAUCAACAAAUAUCUAUUUACCUUUUAUGUGCCUUGGCAUCACACCGUUCCCACGUCAAACAAGAGAAUUCCCUCUGGAGGGGACGGAUGCAGUGAAACAACCCUCAACCAUAAUAUUCCAGCAAUCCUAAGUGUGAAGGACUUGUAGCUAUUGAAAUGAAGACCUGGAUUGCUGUGCUGCUUCACACUAUCCUGCCAGCAGCAGAGGUGCACGCGCCACGCUUGGGGAAAUCCGGCUUGAGGCAGGCAUCUUCCUGAGCCUGAGACUGCAUCUCACUCGCCAGCCAGCCCCAGACCUGACACAGCUGUCCUCACCUGGGUGCUCAGCUACUUCCUGGGGUAAAAUGCAGUCACCGGCACCUAAGCUCUCGGAGACGUUCACAGCUGUGGGAACAUCGCAAUGAAAUCCAGGACAAACACUAUACUAUGCAUGAAGAUCACCGCCUGGAGAUCUGAGCUCCUCAUUCCAGACGUCGUAUUGGAAAAUGGAACUGGAGAGAAGUGUGGUUUGUUCCUCCGGUUAUUUUCUGUGGUGCUUGCACUGCUGUUUUGAAAGCUCACCGUGGGAGAGCUCAAUUAAGAGCCUUCGUAAUUUCCACCAGUUAACUUUGAUUAAAUAGGCUGUCUUGGAAGGGAAUUCAGUAAAUUUAGGCGAUAAAUAACCUACAGCGAGAUUUCAGCUUUGGAAUUUUUAAAUAUUAGUGCCUGGACAGGCCGUUUCUUUCAGAGGUCUGCACUUCACCAGCUGAUUUGGAACGAUCAUGCUUUAUUUUCUCUGAGCAGAGAGCACAGGUGAAAACUUCUACUGGUUGGAACAACAGGCCCCUUGUAGCAUCUUUGGAACAAAAAAACAUCCUUCCUUCUACCACUAGUUGGAUUAACACAGUGUGAGGUUAGAGGUUCCCUUUCACCACGUUCUUUUAACUCAUGGGUUAUUAGCUGGCUUUUUAGGUCAUAUUAGUUGCCAAAGAUUAGAAAAAAAGCGAAGAGCACUUUCCCCCGAUGUGCUGCUUCUUAGACAAGGACUUCAAGAUUUUUUUUUUUUUUUUUUUUAAUAAAUAAGCAAAUUCUUGCCCACUGCACAAAUGGGAAAACAAUUUAUCUUCAGCUCAGGACCAGUUAACCCAAGGAGUUGAACCCACUGGAGAAGAUACCUGGCAAUUGGCUGUUUACCCUACUCCUUUAGUGAUAUUUUUAAGGGGGGGGCUGAAAAUUCAACAAAAUCUGCUCCCGUCUACACUGCAGCUCCUGGUGAUGAGUUUUAGUUUCCUGUAACUCAGGAAAGUUAAGUAUUCCUCCAAAUCUGUUUUUUGUUUUCUUUCCCUCUCUGUAAAAUGGGCUUCAGAGCUCACCUUACGGGGAUUUUCUCUAGGUCGACUGUGAUUGUGCAAUCAGGCACUUACACACACAGGGGUUGGCAAAUGUAGAACGGUGCUCAGUAAAUGUUGUCUUCAUCCUGUUCCUAUUAACACUUUUCUCAGGUGUAUCUCCCUUGUUUAAAAAAUGUGUCUGCGUAAUAAAAUCCGCUUACCUUUGCUGCUGCUCUUUGUGACUUUUUAAACCCUAACCCUAACACCAAUUCAUUCAUUCUACCCAAGCAUCAGUUCUGGGAGUUGGGUAUAGAAUUAUUU